rnacentral:tRNA from 1 species
AGUCACGUGGUCUAAUGGUUAUGAUUUCUCGUUCACAGCAAGUGAGAUCCUCUCAAGCGCCGAGAAGGUUCCCGGUUCGAUCCCGGGCGUGACUA